UCUUCGGGGAACGAUGGUGAAGCGGCCAGAGUUACGGGAGAGGGAGAGAGAGAAAGAGAGAAAAGGAAAGAGGGGGAGAGAGGAAAACAGAGAGAGAGGGAGAGAGAGAGAAAGCGUGCGCCCUGUAAAACGAAGAGGUCGUUUUCGGAGGGCUCGGUUAGCGCAACCCGCAGCUAGUUACCUGGCAAUGGCAUCUGGGGGAGGAGGAAGCCCGUAGGUGGAGGAGACGUUAGAGCCUCGUUUAAAGCCUCGUGGAAUGAAUUAGCAUCUCCUGCCCGCAAAUUCCUAGGACGAGGCGAGCCUUUUCCAGUAAUGCUUUCCGCAUCUGGUGACUCUGUGGGAGCAGCACCGUCAGAAAAGAGCGGUAAGGGAAAGCGGGUGCCAACGGCACCGUCCUCGCGUCCCCUUUGGGGCCGGAACGCAAAUUCUCUGGCUGUGAGAAAGACCGUUUAGCAGCGCCCUGGGCUGUAACUGUCUGCGAUACUUCUCCCUUUGACAGCACAGAGGCGGUCCGACGCGCUCAGGUCCCUCUAAAGUGGUAACGCCAGGCCUAGGACUAGACAGCAGGGGAUCAUCUGUCCGAGCGGCACGAUGAGCACUAACCUUACCGAGCAGGGGGUUACUGUGCGGGUGUUACAGGAAGGGGAUGUUGCGCGUGUCUGCGUUGACCGAGGGGCAGAGCACGUUGCGCCCAAAAAUGCGGACAGAGAAGGUUUCUGACAGAUUAAUCUCUAGCGGCUACUUAGUCUAACUUCCCUUUCGCAGCAAACCCGAGUGUCGUCGUAGCCCCCAGAGCAGGGCUGGGGGAAGCGGUACCUGCGGGUUGCGCGUUCUCGUUUACCUUGCGCGCGUGCGCGCGCGCGUGUUUGCGUUAGAGCUGCUUUUGUGCUUAGAAGCACCUUUGGAUUCUUACGAUUUUCCGCAGAGCUUUGCUUUGCUCCGUACUUUCGUAGGGUGAUGGAUUUUACGGUGCCUGCGUCGACAGGUGCUGGCCGGCUAAGUUGUAAUGUCCCGAGGGAGACCCUUAGGCGAGGCCGAGGCGCUCGGGGAGGGAGCCUGCCGGAAGAACGUCGCCCGGGAGGGGUCGGCGGCCUCGAGCUGUAGGCGCUGACGCGCGUGGCUCCUUCUGUCGGACGCAGAGAGGUUGCGGAAACUUUAGCUCGGCUUUACGCCGUACGGCGGUAGUAUUUUUGUGUUUCUAAAUUGCGUUAAUCCUCGGCAUUCUGAACAGCAGGGAACGACGACGGGCCGUCGUGAAGAACUGCAGGCUGCCGCCCUCCGACCUCGGCAGGUGACGCGCCGAGAGCAGCCGAUUCGGGAGAAUCCGAAUGCCGGUCUUGGCGAGUUCUCUGCCUGUUGCCGACGAGGAGCCUUUGACAGUAGGAAGCACACCUGCUUCUAGUCUCAGUUGAAGGACGGGUCGCCUAGCUCAGCGUCUAACAAACCCCACAACCGGUGGCCCGGUCGCUAUGGCGCUGCUGUUGCUAGCAGAGCCACCAGGUCUGUGUGAAGCCUUAGGUGCCUGCGUGGAGCAGUGUUUUGGUCACUCACCUGGAAGAAGCAGCGAGGCCUAAAACAAGACUUUGUUGCGGCUACAUGGAGCUGAGUGCUCUCCCUGAAGGUGAAAGCGGAAGGGGUAGGUCGUCGGCUACUCGGACACCUGCCGCGUCAAGGGCGGCAGCGGGAGCUGACCCUUCCCCGACGGACGGACGCCGGUGAGGACUCUGGGUGUCACAAGGGUAGUCCCCGGAAGGGGGCAUCUCCAAGAGAAGCGGCUAGACCCAGCGACCCAGCCGUUCGCUUUGGUCGCCACCUGUGAGGCGAGCAUCCGAGCGCAACGGGAGUCCGGGAGCUGUAUCGAGAAGAGCUGGAACCAACGACAGCAAAUGCUGACGGAGAGGGAAGCCGGACGAACGGCGUGUAGGGGAUUAAUACCCAAGGGACGGGGUUGAAACGAGGAGGCAGAAACGCAGCGGACCCUCGGUAUCCCCAGCAGCUGCCAGGGUAGCGGCAGGUGUUCCGCCACGGGCGA